UGAUGAACGUUUUCUGAUAUUAGAAGAUUUGUGAUAAAUCACAGAAAUCUUAAAUCACUUCACCUGAUAAUUACACUGAUACACUCCGAAAGCUAUAAAAGUCAAUGAUAUGGCGUACGUAUAACCAACUCAUCUAUCAUGGAGGGAAACAUAGCAUGCAAUUUCAAAUAAAUUUAAGUAUUCGAGUGGUUACUCAGGAAUCCAGAAUAAGAU
rnacentral:lncRNA from 1 species